rnacentral:rRNA from 1 species
UACGGAGGGUGCAAGCGUUAUCCGGAUUCACUGGGUUUAAAGGGUGCGUAGGUGGGUCUGUAAGUCAGUGGUGAAAUCUCCGAGCUUAACUCGGAAACUGCCAUUGAUACUAUAGAUCUUGAAUUUUCUGGAGGUAAGCGGAAUAUGUCAUGUAGCGGUGAAAUGCUUAGAUAUGACAUAGAACACCAAUUGCGAAGGCAGCUUACUACAGGAACAUUGACACUGAGGCACGAAAGCGUGGGGAGUCAAACAGG